AGUUGGUGAACACAGGAAAGGAAAGGGCAAAAGUCAGCCUUCUUUUUACAUGGGCGGAAGGCAAUGUUGCCAACCAGAGGGAACAUCUAAUUCUUCUCCUUGUCAAUAUUCACAUUCAGAAAGCUAAUAAGCAGUCUGUCUUGAAGAGUUAUACACAGUAUAUCCCUUUGCCAAUCAGUGACCUUGAUUCUUGGUUGAAGACACCCUCCAUAUAUGUUUUUGAUUGCUCUGCGGCUGGGGGAAUAUUGUGAAUGCUUUUAUUGAGCUUCAUGAUUGGGUUGCUUCUAGCUCCUCUAGAUCCACAAGGGAUUGCAUUCUACUUGGAGCUUGUGAAGCACAUGAGACUCUUCCACAAAGUGCUGAAUUUCCUGCAGAUGUGUUUACGUCUUGUCUCACAACAUCUAUUAU